AGAGUUUGAUCAUGGCUCAGAACGAACGCUGGCGGCAGGCCUAACACAUGCAAGUCGAGCGGGACCUUCGGGUCUAGCGGCGGACGGGUGAGUAUCGCGUGGGAACGUACCCUUUUCUACGGAAUAGCCUCGGGAAACUGAGAGUAAUACCGUAUACGCCCUUUUGGGGAAAGAUUUAUCGGAGAAGGAUCGGCCCGCGUUGGAUUAGGUAGUUGGUGGGGUAAUGGCCUACCAAGCCGACGAUCCAUAGCUGGUUUGAGAGGAUGAUCAGCCACACUGGGACUGAGACACGGCCCAGACUCCUACGGGAGGCAGCAGUGGGGAAUCUUGGACAAUGGGCGCAAGCCUGAUCCAGCAAUGCCGCGUGUGUGAAGAAGGCCUUCGGGUUGUAAAGCUCUUUCAGCUGGGAAGAUAAUGACGGUACCAGCAGAAGAAGCCCCGGCUAACUCCGUGCCAGCAGCCGCGGUAAU
rnacentral:rRNA from 1 species